rnacentral:rRNA from 1 species
AAUGAACGUUGGCGGCGUGGAUUAGGCAUGCAAGUCGAGCGGAAAGGCCCCGCAAGGGGUACUCGAGCGGCGAAAGGGAUAGGAACACGUGGAUUACCUGCCCUCUGGACUGGGAUAGCCGCGGGAAACCGCGAUUAAUACCAGAUAACGUCUCCGGACCAAAGGUGUGAUUCCGCCGGAGGAGGGGUCCGCGUCCCAUUAGCUAGUUGGUGAGGUAAUGGCCCACCAAGGCAACGAUGGGUAGCGGGUGUGAGAGCACGACCCGCAUCACUGGGACUGAGAUACUGCCCAGACACCUACGGGUGGCUG